GACGGACGCUGGCGGCGUGCUUAACACAUGCAAGUCGAACGCUGAACCCGCUUCGGUGGGGGAUGAGUGGCGAACGGGUGAGUAACACGUGGGCAACCUGCCCCCGGCUCUGGGAUAACUCCAAGAAAUUGGGGCUAAUACCGGAUGUGACCGCUGGCCGCAUGGUCUGGUGGUGGAAAGGGUUUCCGGCUGGGGAUGGGCCCGCGGCCUAUCAGCUUGUUGGUGGGGUAGUGGCCUACCAAGGCGACGACGGGUAGCCGGCCUGAGAGGGUGACCGGCCACACUGGGACUGAGACACGGCCCAGACUCCUACGGGAGGCAGCAGUGGGGAAUAUUGCGCAAUGGGCGGAAGCCUGACGCAGCGACGCCGCGUGGGGGAUGACGGCCUUCGGGUUGUAAACCUCUUUCAGCAGGGACGAAGCGCAAGUGACGGUACCUGCAGAAGAAGCGCCGGCCAACUACGUG
rnacentral:rRNA from 1 species